rnacentral:pre_miRNA from 1 species
UGGGGAAGCGCCGGAUCUUGGGCUGUGUCCCCCAGUGCCCUGCGCUCCAGGGCCUGCACUACUGGAAUCGAGCUCCUGCUGUGCAGCCCCCU